rnacentral:rRNA from 1 species
GAGUUUGAUCCUGGUUCAGAUUGAACGCUGGCGGCAUGCCUAACACAUGCAAGUCGAGCGGCAGCGCGGGGGCAACCCUGGCGGCGAGCGGCGGACGGGUGAGUAAGGCAUCGGAAUCUGCCCUGAUGUGGGGGAUAACGUAGGGAAACUUACGCUAAUACCGCAUACGACCGAGAGGUGAAAGCGGGGGACCGAAAGGCCUCGCGCAGCAGGAUGAGCCGAUGUCCGAUUAGCUGGUUGGUGGGGUAAAGGCCUACCAAGGCGACGAUCGGUAGCUGGUCUGAGAGGAUGAUCAGCCACACUGGGACUGAGACACGGCCCAGACUCCUACAGGAGGCAGCAGUGGGGAAUAUUGGACAAUGGGGGCAACCCUGAUCGAGCAAUGCCGCGUGUGUGAAGAAGGCCUUCGGGUUGUAAAGCACUUUUAUCGGGAGCGAAACGCGCCAGACUAAUAUUCUGGUGAACUGACGGUACCCGAGGAAUAAGCACCGGCUAACUCCGUGCCAGCAGCCGCGGUAAUACGGAGGGUGCAAGCGUUAAUCGGAAUUACUGGGCGUAAAGCGUGC